GAUGAACGCUGGCGGCGUGCUUAACACAUGCAAGUCGAACGAAGCACUUAAGAUUGAUUCUUCGGAUGACGUCUUUUGUGACUUAGUGGCGGACGGGUGAGUAACGCGUGGGUAACCUGCCUCACACAGGGGGAUAACAGUUAGAAAUGACUGCUAAUACCGCAUAACCCGAUAGGAUCGCAUGAUCCAGACGGAAAAGAUUUAUCGGUGUGGGAUGGACCCGCGUCUGAUUAGCUAGUUGGUGAGGUAACGGCACACCAAGGCGACGAUCAGUAGCCGGGAUGAGAGGGUGAACCGCCACGUUGGCGCUGAGACACAGCCCACACUCCGACGCAAGGGAGCAGAGGGGAAUAUAGCACGAGGGGGGAAGCGCUGAUGCAGCGGCGCCGGGUGAGUGAAGAAGUGUGUCGGUAUGUAAAGCUCUAUCAGCAGGGGAGAAAAUGACGGUACCUGACUAAGAAGCCCCGGCUAACUACGUG
rnacentral:rRNA from 1 species